GCUUGCUUUGACAGCACAUACUAAAAUUGGAAUAAUACAGAGAAGAGUAGCAUGGCCCCUGUGCAAGGAUGACGUGCAAAUUUGUGAAACGUUCCAUAUUUUU